AGGUUCCGCCCUUGUCGCCGUACUUUUGCGAUGGACCGAUGCUAUUUCUGAGGGAGCUCAAGAUAGCCUGUGGAACGGAGAUUCGUACCCGUUGGCACGAAAGCCGGGAAGCAUGCUGCGAGCACCCACCUUGACUGAGGUGGGUUCAUCCUUCCGGCCAGGGGCGGAACUUU
rnacentral:other from 1 species